rnacentral:lncRNA from 10 species
CAGUUACAAAACAUUUUCUGGCUAAACAAUGCAUUCUCCUGGAUCUCACACAUCAGAAUUAUCUUCCAGAUCCCAGGGGUGAGAAGCGCAGCUUCUGCGUCAGACACCAGUCUAGUGGACAUCGCACGCUAGCCCUGCCACUCGCCAGCUGUGGGGCUUUGGGAGCUCUGUGCCUCAGUCUCCUCCACCUAUAAGUGGGAAUGAUAGUGAAGUCGGCCUCACAGAUGAGGAUGCAGGGCACACUGGGAAGCCUGCUGAAUUACAACGAGGGGGAGAACUCAGCAACCCAAGCGGCAUGAUCUCUAUCACAGGCUGCAGCACUGGAUUUUACCUUACUGUGCAUGAUUUUUCAUUUGCUUUACUGUGAACUCACCUAGGACGGGGUCCAGGCCUUGGUCACUUUUGCUCUCCUUGCACAUGUGUGGCAGGUAGUCAGACAUGCCUCGGGAAUGAAGGCAGGAAUGUACUUCAUCGACUCCACUCCUGUGAUGUGAGAUCCCUGAGGGCAGGACCCAAGUCCUACAUCAACCCUAGAGCCCAGCACCAGUUUUCCCAUGUGAUUCUCUUAAGAACAAAAUAUAAUACAGUCGUGUAAAUCUAAGUGAUUUAUUACACAAGUGAUUAUCCUAGAGAUACUGGGACCCACGACUUGGGGCUCCACCAAUGUUCCUCUGUUAUAUAAGCUCAGAGAGAGAAGAAAAGCCUUCCAAGAUUCUGAUACCGCUCACCCCAGUUUUCACUUGAAAGUCAACCAAUGAAUGAGCACCAGGGUGAAGAUGGAAUUCUGCCAGCCACAGUACCUGCAAGAGUCCACAACACACUUGACUUUCAUUCAUGUGUACUACAAUCCUGUGGGUUAAAGGGCCAUAAAAGUUGUCCUGGUUUUUCUUAUACUUCAAAGGAAGCAAUUUAAUGGCCAUGAAUGACAGCCUCCCGAUUACACUGUAACUAUGAAACACGACUGUUCUGGAAUGAUUUCCAGGCUGGCUCCCUCACCAAAGGAACUUCAAGCCCACUGAGAACAGAGGGACACACACCACAGGGAGGUGAGCUGUCUCGGAAGGAGCCCUCCACGCAGACCCCACAGCUAUAUUAACUGUGCUUAACGUAAUCAUGAACACAUAAUCGCGGGGCUAUUGAAGACUCCAUAACAAACAAGAUCAAGGAGCCUGGAGCCUCUAAAACAUGAAAACCAAUUAGCACUAUGAAAUCUAAGAGCAGACACAGCCAGAGCUCGAGAAAAGGCAUGGGCAGGAGCUGGACUGCUCAAUCCUGCUCACUCCUCCCUUCCUUCCUGUUACACGGUUCUGUUCUGAGGUGCUGCUGAGAGGGGCUUCCUCUCCUGGGCCAGAACUGAGGCUAAGGCCCGAAGCUGAGGACAGAAAGUGAUCAACUCCCCACAUUCUAAAGAGGCUGCUGGAGAAGCGGCCACGACUGGGGCCUGACAUCCUUCUCUAGGGAUUAUCAGGCAGCACUCUGCUACCCAUCCCACAGGACCGUAACUUAUCCUUCCCAAUCCGUAGAAAGCAAGACUCUGAAGCAUGUGCGUUUGUCUUUGGCCUUGUGGGAGGUUUCUAUUCAAGAGGAAAACUGAUGCCAUGAAGGAUGGGAUGAGGUGCUUUCUCUUCCCAGAAGGGAAAGAUUUGGGUGCCUCGUGAAAGGGAGUCUGGAGUCAGCUCCCUGGUCAAUGAUCUACUUGCAGAGACAACUCUCUGAUCUCACCUUAAUAAAUGAGAUUCAUUCACCUGGCACUUUGGGUUUCAUGUAGGGGGAGAGAUGGAAGAGUUAGGGGAAUAAAAGGAGAUGAAAGGACUAAAGAAAAGGCAGAAGGAGGCCGGGCAUGGUGGCUCACAUCUGUAAUCC